UCAUCGAAAUAGUUUGAUUUUUGGGUAAGCUUCAAAUACCCCCCUUAUGGUUUCACACUUUCUCACUUUAGUACUAUAUAGUUUAAAGUGUAUCAAGUUAGCCCCUAUGGUUUCACACUUUCUCACUUUAGUACCCUGUGUUUUAAAGUGUAUCAAGUUAGUACCCUGUGGUUUCAUUUUUCUCUUUUUAUUAUCCAUUUCACUAAUUUUUUUUUGUUAAAUCAGUGAUAAAGUUAAAAUUAAAGGGUACUAAAGUGAAUAUUCGAUUAACCUAGGUAGGAUAUCAUAAGUUUUUUUAUAUAUAAUUUAACGAAAUAUUAACGGAGGAAAAAAAAUCAAUGACAAAGUUAAAACUAAAGGGUACUAAAGUAAAUAUUCGAUAAACCUAGGUAGGAUAUCUGAAGUUUUUUGUUUAUAAUUUAACGAAAUAUUAACAGAGGAGCCGAUGAAAAGAGAAAAAUGAAACCGCAGGGUACUAAAUUGAUGUACUUUAAACCACAGGGUACUAAAGUGAGAAAGUGUGAAACCACAGGGUACUAAAUUGAUAGAUUUUAAACCACAAGGUACUAAAGUGAAAAGGUGCGAAACCACAAGUG
rnacentral:lncRNA from 1 species